AAAAGGAAAGACCGGUGCAAGCGGGACAGUAGCCAUGCAGGCAAAUCCGUGUGGCAAUACGAAGACGUGACGCGGACCGAAAUAAAGUAGGGAAGCAUGUGAGCCAUGUGCCAAGAAAAGCCGCUAUAGAUCAUACCGUACCCGUACCGUAAACCGACACAGGUAGAUGAGGAGAGAAUCCUAAGGCCGACGGGAGAAGCAUUGUUAAGGAACUCGGCAAAAUGACCCCGUAACUUCGGGAGGAGGGGUGCCCACGCGAGUGGGCCGCAGAGAAUAGGCUCAAGCAACUGUUUAGCAAAAACACAGGUCUAUGGAAACCGAAAGGUGAGGUAUAUGGGCUGACGCCUGCCCGGUGCUGGAAGGUUAAGAGGAGGAGUCAGGCAACGAAGCUCCGAAUUUAAGCCCCAGUAAACGGCGGCCGUAACAAUAACGGUCCUAAGGUAGCGAAAUUCCUUGUCGGGUAAUUCCGACCCGCACGAAAGGCGUAAUGAUUUGAGCACUGUCUCGACAAUGCACCCGGUGAAAUUGAAGUACCAGUGAAGAUGCUGGUUACCUGCGCCAGGACGGAAAGACCCCAUGGAGCUUUACUCCAGUUUGAUACUGGGAUUCGAUACUGAAUGUACAGGAUAGGUGGGAGGCUGAGAAGCGUGGACGCCAGUCUGCGGUGAGCCGCUGUUGGGAUACCACCCUUUGAGUAUUGGAUUUCUAACCUGCGCCCGUGGCCCGGGCGGGGGACAAUGUCUGACGGGGAGUUUGACUGGGGCGGUCGCCUCCGAAAGGGUAUCGGAGGCGCUCAAAGGUUCCCUCAGAAUGGUUGGAAACCAUUCGCAGAGUGCAAAGGCAGAAGGGAGCUUGACUGUGACACCGACGGGUGGAGCAGGUACGAAAGUAGGACUUAGUGAUCCGGUGGUAUGAAAGUGGGAUUGCCAUCGCUCAACGGAUAAAAGCUACCCUGGGGAUAACAGGCUUAUCACUCCCAAGAGUUCACAUCGACGGAGUGGUUUGGCACCUCGAUGUCGGCUCAUCGCAUCCUGGGGCUGUAGCAGGUCCCAAGGGUUGGGCUGUUCGCCCAUUAAAGCGGUACGCGAGCUGGGUUCAGAACGUCGUGAGACAGUUUGGUCCCUAUCCGGCGCAGGCGUAGGAUAUUUGAGAGGAGCUGUCCUUAGUACGAGAGGACCGGGAUGGACAGACCGCUGGUGUAUCUGUUGGUGACCAACACCAUGGCAGAGUAGCCAAGUCUGGCAGGGAUAAACGCUGAAGGCAUCUAAGCGUGAAGCCCCCCUCAAGAUGAGAUAUCCCAAUAAGUAAGACCCCUUAGAGAGUAUGAGGUAGAUAGGCUUAAGGUGUAAGCAUAGUAAUAUGUUCAGCUGAUAAGUACUAAUAGGUCGAGGGCUUACC
rnacentral:rRNA from 1 species